rnacentral:rRNA from 1 species
CGGCCUAUACAUGCACGUCGAGGGGUAGAGUUGGAGCAAUCUGACUUGAGACCGGCGCACGGGUGCGUAACACGUAUGCAACCUACCUUUUACUGGGGUAUAGCUCAGAGAAAUCUGAAUUAAUCCCCCAUAACAAUAGAUCAUGGCAUCAUGGACUAUUUAAAGCUGAGGCGGUAAAAGAUGGGCAUGCGGUGUAUUAGCUAGUUGGUGAGGUAAUGGCUCACCAAGGCUACGAUACAUAGGGGUUCUGAGAGGAUGAUCCCCCACACUGGUACUGAGACACGGACCAGACUCCUACGGGAGGCAGCAGUAGGGAAUAUUGGUCAAUGGACGCAAGUCUGAACCAGCCAUGCCGCGUGCAGGAAGACGGCCCUCUGGGUUGUAAACUGCUUUUAUAUGGGAAGAAACCUUCGGAUGCGUUCGAAGCUGACGGUACCAUAUGAAUAAGGAUCGGCUAACUUCGUGCCAGCAGCCGCGGUAAGACGAAGGAUCCAAGCGUUGUCCGGAUUUACUGGGUUUAAAGGGUGCGUAGGCGGAAAAUUAAGUCAGUGGUGAAAGCCCGCAGCUCAACUGCGGAACUGCCAAUGAAACUGAUUUUCUUGAAUACGGUUGAGGUAGAUGGAAUAUAACAUGUAGCGGUGAAAUGCUUAGAUAUGUUAUAGAACACCAAUUGCGAAGGCAGUCUACUAAGCCGUGAUUGACGCUGAGGCACGAAAGCGUGGGGAGCGAACAGGAUUAGAUACCCUGGUAGUCCACGCCCUAAACGUUGAUUACUCGCUGUUGGCAAUACACUGUCAGCGGCUAAGCGAAAGCGUUAAGUAAUCCACCUGGGAAGUACGACCGCAAGGUUGAAACUCAAAGGAAUUGACGGGGGCCCGCACAAGCGGAGGAGCAUGUGGUUUAAUUCGAUGAUACGCGAGGAACCUUACCUGGGCUUAAAUGUCGUGCGACAAUUGCUGAAAAGUGAUCUCCCUUCGGGGCGACCCGCAAGGUGCUGCAUGGCUGU